rnacentral:ncRNA from 1 species
AACCCUGAAAAGUCCUUUAAACACAAAGGUUUGGUCCCGACCUUGAGAUCAGUUACUACUUAAUAUACACAUGCAAGUCUCCGCACCCCUGUGAAAACGCCCUUUAAUCCCUUCAGGGAUAAGGAGCUGGUAUCAGGCCCGAAACUCUGCCCAAGACACCUAGCUAUGCCACACCCACAAGGGAACUCAGCAGUGAUUAACAUUGAGCAUAAGCGACAGCUUGACUCAGUUAAAGUUCAAAGAGCCGGCAAAUCUGGUGCCAGCCGCCGCGGGUACACCAUUAGGCUCAAAUUGACCUCGAUCGGCGUAAAGCGUGAUUUAAGACACAAAAAAUUGAAGUUAAACUAAAACUAAGCUGUGACACGCUUGUUUUUAAGAAAACCUAACACGAAAGCUACUUCAAUUAACACAACUUGAACUCACGACAGUUAGGAUACAAACUGGGAUUAGAUACCCCACUAUGCCUGACCGUAAACUUUAAAUUACAACCCAUCGCCUGGGAACUACGAGCAAAGCUUAAAACCCAAAGGACUUGACGGCACCCCAAAUCCACCUAGAGGAGCCUGUCCUACAAUCGAUAACCCCCGUUCAACCUCACCACCUCUAGCUCUUCAGCCUGUAUACCUCCGUCGUCAGCUUACCACGUGAGCGUACAUUAGUGAGCUUAAUGCCAAUAUAUUGACACGCCAAUACGUCAGGUCAAGGUGCAGCAUAUGAGGCGGAAAGAGAUGGGCUACACUCUCUAGCUUAGAAUACACAAAAGACUAUUUAUGAAACCUAGUCUGAAGGCGGAUUUAGAAGUAAAAAGAAACAAGAGUGUUCUCUUUAACUAGGCACUGGGGUGUGUACACACCGCCCGUCACCCUCUUCAAAGCUUAUAAAAAGUUCUUAACCAACUUAUGCUACAUAGAAGAGGCAAGCCGUAACAUGAUAAGUAUACCGGAAGGUGUGCUUGGAAA